rnacentral:rRNA from 1 species
GCUAGCGUUGUUCGGAAUUACUGGGCGUAAAGCGCACGUAGGCGGCUUUGUAAGUUAGAGGUGAAAGCCCGGGGCUCAACUCCGGAAUUGCCUUUAAGACUGCAUCGCUCGAAUUGUGGAGAGGUAAGUGGAAUUCCGAGUGUAGAGGUGAAAUUCGUAGAUAUUCGGAAGAACACCAGUGGCGGAGGCGACUUACUGGACACAUAUUGACGCUGAGGUGCGAAAGCGUGGGGAGCAAACAGG